UCAAGAACCUUCCACAAUGGACGAAAGUCUGAUGGAGCGACGCCGCGUGAUUGAUGAAGUGCUUCGGCACGUAAAGAUCUUUUAUGAGGGAAGAAGUUUAUUGACGGUACCUCAUGAAUAAGGGGCUCCUAACUCUGUGCCAGCAGGAGCGGUAAUACAGAGGCCCCAAGCGUUAUCCGGAAUUAUUAGGCGUAAAGGGUGUGUAGGUGGCGCUAUUAGUCGUUUUUGAAAGCCCGGGGCUUAACUCCGG
rnacentral:rRNA from 1 species